AUCAACAAUGCAUUAUAUUAUUUCGAAUUUUAUGGUGCCUUGACGAAAUUGACGGAGUGAUUGCCAUUAAAUAAAUGUAUAUGCACAUACAUACAUAUCUUAAAUUGAUAAGCAGAACUUCACUAUAAAUUUCAAGGUCCUUCAAUAUAAAAUCAAAAAUUGUAUUCCUUUCGUAUUGUACAUAUGUGCAUACAGUUAUGGACAAAACAAUAGAGUCACCCACUCAGAUUUUUCAAAUGUCAAUAAAAAAAAAACAAUUAUUACAAGAAAUUAAUAAGAAUAUUAUAUUUCAUUUUGGUCUUCAUUGCUAAUGUGAAAGAAACCUUAAAUUGAAAUUAAAGAAAAUGUUUCGAAUAACUUAUAAAAAUUUAAAUAUUUCACCUUUUUAAAAUUUUAUUUUAUACAUGAAAACAGGGUCAAGCCCAAAAUGGCGUUUUAACUAAGAGUUUAUGUUCAAAACGUAAUUUAAAAUUAAUAUUAGACAGAAUAUCCUUUAUUAAUAACUACAAAUUGUUUUUUCAUAUUCCAACCUUGUUUUUAACUUUCGCUCAUUGACUGUUUUUCAUAAAAUUUCUAAAGGAUUAAAAUCUGGAAGUUGCGCAGGCCGAUCCAUAACAUCAACUCCAUUGUCCGAAAGUCAGUUUUUGGCCAUACCGCAUGAGUUUACGGUCAUUUUCUUGCUGAUAUACCCAUUUUAAAAGCAUUUUCCACUGAGCAAGAGGUGGCAUAAUCUCAUCAAGUAAUUGAACGAAAAGGUAUGUGUCCAUAUUUUUCUUAAUAUAAAAUACAGGCACCAUUUUGUUGGGUUGAUAAAGUUUAAGCUUUUAUUUAUUUUAACGUUUGUUUUGAGAGUUCCAAACUAAGUGCUCUUAAGAAUCCUGAUGCUCACAAGCACUCAAUAGUUUUCGUCCAAGGAUCCCGAAGAAUUUAAAUUAAAUUGCACUUUAAAAAAUUAUCCUAUUAUUUUGAUCGUAAUUACAUCUACAUAUGUAAAUUCAUAUGUAAUUAGCUCAAAACUGAAAAUUGAUGAAUAUAUUUAUAAUCAAUUUCUAAUUUUGCUAAUCAAUAUUCGAACUCAACUACAAUUAUAACAACAAAAAGACCAAAAAGCAUACUCCGUUGUUGUUAUUUCUCUCUUCCAAAGCCUAUGCGUUUGUCUUAUACACCUACAAGUAUAUACAUAUGUACAUAUGUAGAUAUGUAAGUAUACAGGUACGUAUGCCUGCACCUUCUUAGACUGUUUUCAAAAUUUACCUGUAACCUUAGCGUAAAUUAAGCUAAAAUCAGGUUUUGUGCAAGAAACACAAACAAAAGCGAUUACAACCGACUGCAGCAUCAAAGGGCAGGUUCGCGUAGCUAAAUUUACCAGUGACAUACUAGCAUGAAAAGAAGUGCGAGAAACUCGAUAUCACACUGCAGCAGUUCAGCAAAUAACUACAACAACUAUACUCAUAUAAAUGUGGCAAGCAUAAUUCACUCGUCGCGGUUACUUCCACAAGUAUGUUUGUUUAACGCCUGGCUGAUCUCCGGUCUGCUCGCCGAACAAUCAUCUGUCGGUUGACUUAAGUCCCUUUGCUAUUCUAUCUUCGCACAACAUGUGGACGCUGUUGCACAUGACGAUUGUUCGUUGCAGGAUAUCUAGCGAAAUACCUAGAAUAUAUAUAUGCAUGUGCCUAAGUAUAUAAUUUCAAUUGAACUUCCCUAGAAAGUAAGCAAAAGACACUCAAAGGACAAAAUUGCUCUCCUGCAUUUACCAUUAAUGACGGAAAGAAAAGGCAAAGAUAAUGCAAAUACUGACUGACUAUUUACUGUUUAGAAUAAGUUUAUGGUGCCUUUAUGAAAAACGGAGAGGUGGCACCUUCCUUUGCAAUUUUAAAAUAUAUGUAAAGGUAUUUUAAAUAUGGAUAAGUUUUAUAUUUAUUAAAAAUAUAUAUAUUUGAGCUUACAUUGCCAAAAAUUAAAAUUCUAAUGAUAAGAGAUUAUUUUUAAUUUAUAGGUGGGCAUUUAAUUUUGACGUUUGGCAUAAGCAAGUAACACACUCUUAUGUAUGUAUACAUAUAGAAAUAUAGGAGCCUUCACUGCCGGUUCUUGUGUGAUACAAAAAUCUAUAAGCAUAUUCAAUGUAUUUGUUGACAAGAAUUCUGAUGCUCAGUGUUAUGCGCCAAUUUCUUCUACUCAGUAGAUUCUCAAAACAUUCUCGCACGCAAAUCAGCAAAAGCGCUUAAUUUUUUGUGGUGCAGUAAAAAUAAUAAAAUAUAAAAGAGGACGUUGUUCUGGCAAAAAGCUAAAAGAUCGGUUAAAUUUGUAUUGCUUUGGAUGUGUAUGUAACAUGCGUACAUUUGUACACUUCAAUCCGCUUACUGGGUUUAUUUACUUCAACCGUUAAAAUCAAAAUUAAUAGUUGUAUUGUAUUUGCUACAUAUGUAUGCAUGUAAAUAAUGUAAACAUUUAAGUCGUUAUACAGAAUAAAUCUAAUAUCCUUUAAACAAAA